rnacentral:rRNA from 1 species
GCAGGCCUACCAUGCAAGUCGAGCGGAUGAAGGGAGCUUGCUCUCUGAUUCAGCGGCGGACGGGUGAGUAAUGCCUAGGAAUCUGCCUGGUAGUGGGGGACAACGUCUCGAAAGGGACGCUAAUACCGCAUACGUCCUGAGAAAGCAGGGGACCUUCGGGCCUUGCGGGUACCUAUCAGAUGAGCCUAGGUCGGAUUAGCUAGUUGGUGAGGUAAUGGCUCACCAAGGCGACGAUGGAUCAACCGUAACUGGUCUGAGAGGAUGAUCAGUCACACUGGAACUGAGACACGGUCCAGACUCCUACGGGAGGCAGCAGUGGGGAAUAUUGGACAAUGGGCGAAAGCCUGAUCCAGCCAUGCCGCGUGUGUGAAGAAGGUCUUCGGAUUGUAAAGCACUUUAAGUGAGGAAGGGUUGUAGAUUAAUACUCUGCAAUUUUGACGUUACCGACAGAAUAAGCACCGGCUAACUCUGUGCCAGCAGCCGCGGUAAUACAGAGGGUGCAAGCGUUAAUCGGAAUUACUGGGCGUAAAGCGCGCGUAGGUGGUUUGUUAAGAAUGGGACUUGAAAGCCCCGGGCUCAACCUGGGAACUGCAUCCCCAGUCAAAACUGGCAAGCUAGAGUAGGGCAGAGGGUGGUGGAAUUUCCUGUGUAGCGGUGAAAUGCGUAGAUAUAGGAAGGAACACCAGUGGCGAGCGACCACCUGGGCUCAUACUGACACUGAGGUGCGAAAAAUUGGUCAGCGUGGGGAGCAAACAGGAUUAGAUACCCUGGUAGUCCACGCCGUAAACGAUGUCACUAGCCGUUGGAUCCUUGAGAUUUAAAUGUCUAGUUUGUACC